UGCGUAGGCGGGCUAAUAAGUCAGUGGUGAAAUCUUUCGGCUCAACCGGGAAACUGCCAUUGAUACUGUUAGUCUUGAGUUCGGUUGAGGUAGGCGGAAUGUGUAAUGUAGCGGUGAUAUGCUUAGAUAUUACACAGAACACCAAUUGCGUAGGCAGCUUACUAGACCGACACUGACGCUGAGGCACGAAAGCGUGGGGAGCGUACAGGAUUAGAUACCCUGGUAGUCC
rnacentral:rRNA from 1 species